rnacentral:rRNA from 1 species
CUACGGGAGGCUCCAGUAAGGAAUAUUGCGCAAUGGAGGCAACUCUGACGCAGCCAUGCCGCGUGCAGGAAGAAGGCCUUAUGGGUCGUAAACUGCUUUUAUUUAGGAAUAAACCCCCGAACGUGUUCGGGGCUGAAGGUACUAAACGAAUAAGCACCGGCUAACUCCGUGCCAGCAGCCGCGGUAAUACGGAGGGUGCAAGCGUUAUCCGGAUUUAUUGGGUUUAAAGGGUGCGCAGGCGGGCUAUUAAGUCAGUGGUGAAAUCCCGGGGCUCAACUCCGGAACUGCCAUUGAUACUGAUAGUCUUGAGUUUGGUUGAAGUGGGCGGAAUGUGGCAUGUAGCGGUGAAAUGCAUAGAUAUGCUACAGAACACCAAUCGCGAAGGCAGCUCACUAAGCCAAAACUGACGCUCAUGCACGAAAGCGUGGGGAUCAAACAGGAUUAGAUACCCCCGUAGUC